AGACAUCAUAUUGGGCACUAGAUGCCACUGCUCAGGGAGGUGUUCAAUAUAAUUCAGAAAGAUUGGCAGUGGAUCAACACCGCCAAGAGAGACAGCCAGCCUUCAGAGCCCGUAGAGGGAAUAAGAAAU